rnacentral:rRNA from 1 species
GACGUAGGGCGCGAGCGUUGUCCGGAUUUAUUGGGCGUAAAGAGCUCGUAGGCGGCUUGUCGCGUCGUCCGUGAAAACCGGGGGCUCAACCCCUGGCUUGCGGUCGAUACGGGCAGGCUAGAGUUCGGUAGGGGAGACUGGAAUUCCUGGUGUAGCGGUGAAAUGCGCAGAUAUCAGGAGGAACACCGGUGGCGAAGGCGGGUCUCUGGGGCCGAUACUGACGCUGAGGACGAAAGCGUGGGGAGCGAAACAGG